rnacentral:rRNA from 1 species
GUCUUUUUGUUUAUAUAAAAAGUCAAGCCUGCCCCGUGAAAUAUUUAACGGCCGUGGUAUAUUGAUCGUGCAAAGGUAGCAUACGAUAAUCAUUAGUUUUUUAAUAGAGGACUGGUAUGAAAGGUUUAACGAAACAUAGACUAUCUUAUUUUUAAUUUUAUAAUUUAACUUUUGAGUUAAAAGGCUUAAAUUUUGUUGGUGGACGAGAAGACCCUAUAGAGCUUUACAUUAUUUAUUGUAACACUAUAUUUUAAUAAUAACGUAUUAUUUUAAUUGUUGUUUUGUUGGGGUGACAGAUAAUAAUUAAUUAACUUUAACUAUUUAAUUUAAAUUAAUUUAUGAUUAUUUGAUCCAAUAUUAUUGAUUAUUAGAAUAAAUUACCUUGGGGAUUACAGUGUAAUCUUUUUUCAGAGACAAAAUUUACAAAAAGGCUUGGGACCUCGAUGUUGGAUUAAGAUUAUAAUUAGGUGCAGUAACUUAAUUAUUAGGUUUGUUCGACCUUUAAAUUCUUACAUGAUCUGAGUUUAGACCGG